rnacentral:rRNA from 1 species
UACGUAGGGUGCGAGCGUUGUCCGGAAUUAUUGGGCGUAAAGGGCUCGUAGGCGGUUUGUCGCGUCGGGAGUGAAAACUCAGGGCUUAACCCUGAGCCUGCUUCCGAUACGGGCAGACUAGAGGUAUGCAGGGGAGAAUGGAAUUCCUGGUGUAGCGGUGAAAUGCGCAGAUAUCAGGAGGAACACCGGUGGCGAAGGCGGCAUCCUGGACCACGACUGACGCUGAGUGAGCGAAAGCCAGGGGAGCAAACGGG